UCAACGAGGCGCUCUCACCACGGGGCCACUUUAGAUCAGAGCAGGCUCACUGUACCCAAGUCAUUUGCGAACGCCUAAUUUAUCUGUGAAACCACGGCUGACCUGAAGAUGUACAAGAGCGUCCUAGCCCCCAAAACCACUGCGAUAGGCGGCUCUGCAGGCAUUUACGAUGGUACCGAAGGCAGACACAAGGGCAGCAAACUAUUUUAUCACCUGAGCUUCAGAAAAAGACACACAGUGUCUGUGUCUGUUCCUUGGCAAAGCCUAGGAGUGCAGCUGAUAACACAAGGAUCCUGGAGCUGAGCAUCUGCUAUUUGAGAUGCACCACAGGACACACAAGUACUUUCCUUCUCCCUAUUUUAUGCCUCAGCUCCGUGACAUGGUGAGAGAAGACAGACUUUACUUGCUGUUACAGAAAAAGGAAACGGAAUCGGUGGAAAAACUAUUGUCAUCAACACUGCGCUUCCUCUGCUUCUGCUUGUGGACAACAGCCAUACCCAGGUCUUGGUGCUGACUUGCUGGGAAUGUACGUUGUACAGCCCAGAUAAAAGGAUUUAUCAUGAAGGAACACUCCAGUGGGAGCAGCUGGAGUAGAUAGCUUAGUUCUGAGAACAUGUGGGCUUCAUCAACAACGUGAACUUAGGAACCUUCGGAGACACUAAUUUGGCUGAACUGAGGACUAGACUUUAGGAUGCAGAGGAAACUGCUGCUUCUGAAGAAGGAAGCAGGUUGUUGCUUGCAGCAACAAGCCGCCUCCUGCCUUCAAGUCCUAUGCCCAUUAAGGUGAAGAGCCCUCGAACCACCCAAAAACUAAAGGAAAGAAAAAUCCCAAAUGGCUGAGAAAGAAGAGGACACAGCAUGUGUCCAUGGGGCUAGAAGGCUUAUAAAUGCAUAUACAUACGUUUGACCAAAAAGCAGAAGGCAUGGCCAUUGAUGGUUAGAGAAACCCUUCUGAGGCACACAAAACCAGCAGUUUAAUGACUCAAUCAACUAUCUAGAGAGACUGAAUGCAUGAAACAAGAUCCGGACACAAAGGUUGAUGAGGUGGUUGAAGAUACCUUCAACAGCUGCUGCAAUGUGAAAACUGCCCAAUAUUUGUCUCCCUUGGAACAACUCUUGCAGGAUUUAGUCUACAUGAAACCAAUUCCCUGCAAACUGCUAAAUACAUAAUCGUGGUUAGUAGAGGAUCAGACCCGUUUGACUGAUCAUCAUGUUAAAUAAUGGUGAUGAAACUUUGUUUUGUGUCAUUUAAGAUGUUCACAGAAGAGUUGAAAUAAAGUUUAGAAUUCUGUGAUAUAUAGUUGAGUAUAAUUCUCAGACAUGUGAAUUAACUUAAAAUUGAUCAUUUUGUUCAGAAACCAAAGCUGACAAUCCAUGGCAUGCUUAAAACAGAGAAUAUGAGAGAGUAGAGUAUAAAAUAAAUUGAAAGCAAGAAAAUACAUUGAGGACGCUUCUCUUAAAUUAUUUUUUUUCAUUAAAAAAGUUAUCAGAAGCUGCUACAGAACUUGAAGAAUUUUCAUAAGAGUACAGUAGAGAUGGAUGUUUAAUCUAGGUUUAACUUCCUCCUGGCUGCCAGGAAUCUUUAUUGUAGCUUAACAUGAAACAUUUUCAUUUUUAUUUCCUUUAUAAGUAUUUCAAAGUGAAUAAAGAUUUGCAUGUUGUCUUUCAAACACAAACCCAAAGCAUUUUAGAAUGCUUUAGCCCACCACGCAACAACUUCCAUAUACAUUUGGUAAAUUCCUGUUCUACUUACAUCAACAGCAUGGCUCCAGCUGAAUUCAGUGGAGUAACAAAUAUGUCCAAUCAACCUUUUUCAUUUACACAAUUUCUUAGAUUUUCUUUAGCAUGUUAAUAAUGAAAAAUAUUUAUAAGCACUAGACAUAAUCUUAA